rnacentral:rRNA from 1 species
AAUUAACGCUGGCAGAGUGCAUAACACAUGCAAGUCGAGCGGAACUGUUUGAGAUUACAUCAAGGGCAGUUUAGCGGCAGACGAGUGAGUAACACGUAAGCAAUCUACCCUCGAAUGGCGAAUAACUAUCCGAAAGGAUAGCUAAUGCGCCGUACUCUCCUUGGAAGGCAUCUUCCGAGGAGGAUAGACCAGCAAUGGUCGUUCAAGGAGGAGCUGCGGCCCAUCAGCUAGUUGGCGGUGUAACGGACCACCAAGGCUACGACGGGUACCCGGCCUGAAAGGGCGAACGGGCACGAUGGGCACUGAGACACGGGCCAUACUCCUACGGAGGCAGCAGUGGGGAAUUUUGGACAAUGGGCGAAAGCCUGACCCAGCAACUCUGCGUGAGGGACGAAGGGCUUCGGCCCGUAAACCUC